rnacentral:rRNA from 1 species
AUGCGCCUUGCCAGCCCGCUCAGUCAGAGUUUGAUCCUGGCUCAGAGCGAACGCUGGCGGCAGGCUUUAACACAUGCAAGUCGAGCGCACUCUUUUAGAGUGAGCGGCAAACGGGUGAGUAACGCGUGGGAAAUCUACCCCUCUCUACGGAAUAACACAGAGAAAUUUGUGCUAAUACCGUAAUACGGUCCCUUUUUGGGGAGAAAGAUUUAUCGGAGAUGGAUGAGCCCGCGUUGGAUUAGCUAGUUGGUGAGGUAACGGCCCACCAAGCGACGAUCCAUAGCUGGUCUGAGAGGAUGAUCAGCCACACUGGGACUAAGACACGGCCCAG